UUAGGAGAUCCCAUUCCCGCCACAACAUUUGCUCCCCCAAAUCAAUUUGGGAAGAGGAGGUGUUAUGCAUAACACAUUUGAAGAUAUACACAGCCAUUGGAAAAGGGCUGAGGCUGUGAGAAUAAAGUGCUUGAGGCUUUGAGACAUGGGCAAUAUUUGCUUCCAUCUCGACUUCUCGAGGUUUCAAACCCUCAAAAACUCUGACAUUCUACUGAUGUUGUGGAAGCCUUACGCACCAAUAUAUCCCAAGCUAGUGAAGAAUGUGGCUGAUGGUCUAACAUUUGAAGAAACUAAGGAGAAGCGAAACAGAGGACUUAAUUCUCCCCCUCUAGUGAAACUCACUAGAAAUGGCGUGUAUGUAAAUGUGGUGGAGAGAGUGAGGACAGCAUUUGAGACUGAUGAGUCACUUUGCUUAUGUUUGGAGCUUUUGAGUCAAGAAAAGGAUUAACUAUAAGGGACAUCAGUGAAGCACUUGAAAUUAAGGCAGAUGAUUCCAGGUUCAUCGUCGUCGUUCCUGUGCCAACUCCAAAACGCAUGAGUUGAAUUCACGAUGUUGAGCUCACCAUGGCCAAAACUUGCUUCACGAAAGACAGACCACUCGGGCUGCUGCUCCUUGUACCUGCGCGCUAAGCCUUCACUGUUUCCACCAUCGCCAAUCGUGAUGUGUACGAAUCCACAAGGAUCGGAUUUACCAUUGAAGACACGCUUCUGUCAUUACAAGCCAAACAGUUAAGGUGGAGCUCAAAGAUUGAAUACAGAUACAGAAGCAAAAUCAUACUGUGCGUUCAUAGGCAUGAACAUGGCCAGCAAACACAACGUCCACGGCAGCAGCAUGCAGCAAGGGCUCAAUUGCUGCCAUCAUGCCAUCACCUUCACCUUGAUGAGCCUCGUUACUGUUAUACCAUGGAACAUGGAAUACGGCAAGGAUCCAUGGUGUCCUUCCGCGAUUCACUUUCGAAAGAUCACCCU